rnacentral:lncRNA from 1 species
UACAUGGUGUAACAAGGCUAGAGCAGGGGUGAGGAUCUCAUCUCUGGUAUUUAAGGUUGUUUUAAAAUAGGUGUUUGAGGACUAGUAGGUGAGCACAUAAUUACAUUGUAAUGCACCUUCACAAGGGAGCUGGGGUAAGGCUGUGAAUUGAAGCUGAAUGUGUACAUUUCUUUGCCACUGAGUGCUUAACCAUGCAGCUGGACUUGCAACAUAACUUUUUAUUUUACAUUAACAUUUAAACAUUAUUUUCUUUCAUUAUUAAGGAGGUGUGAAAUGGGUUUCCUCCACUCCUGAAAAACAUGCUAGAAAAGAGCUUUGCUCAGGAAAGAACCCAACAGUGAAACUGCAAAAUCUUUUUUAAAAAGAAUACAGUAUUCUGUGCAAAUGAUUCCAAUGGGUUUUGUGAUUGUGUUUGGGGCACUGGUUGUACAGUACUAUAGGGAUUUUUGCCUCCUCUCAGAGCAGACGUGUUUUCUCCUGGGUCUCAUACAGUACUAAGCACAAGAUUAGUGGUUAAAAAUCAUUUUCCCUCAUUGUCCUCAGGCACCCACAAGGAGCUGUGGAGAGAUCACAGGGCUGCCUGCGUCACCAAGAGGACUUCCUCCUUGGUGCACCUAGGCGAUGCAUUCUGUGCCUCCCAUCUGAAAAAAAGACUGUUAUCUGAAAUGAGAAGCCAAUUUCCCAAGAAGAAGCUACAAAAGAUUUCCUGUGUUGGAAAGGUGAACGAGAGUCUGCAGAUUGCAAGAGAGAGAAAAGCAUCUCCUCUUAAAUAUCCACUUCUCCAUCCUGCACAGGCGAAGUAGGUUAGUAGAUUUCUCCUCUUUUGCAGGUGAAUUUCACAUUGUAAUUUUUAAAAAAUAUUGG